AUUUAUUUUCUGUCAUCCAAAAUUAUUAUUUUAAAGAAAUAUUUCUGAUCAAUUGGCAUAUGAUCAGAAAUAUUUCCUAGUUAUUUUAAAAAUCAACAACAAAAAGUUAUUGAAUAAAAAUAUUAAGAAAUUAAUUUUAAAUAGUUAAGCGUUUUCGUUAUAAAACUAAAAUUUCUCUGUCUGAUGUUAUUUUAUUUAUAUUUGACGUAGAAAGAUUACAACCAAAUUGAAUGUGUGACCAAAUUUUCAAGAUCCGUGUUCAUUUCCGAGUCUCUCACGAGUUUUUCCAGGAAAUCCGGCCGGGCCUGUUGAAUUUCAUCCACCAGCCAUUACAGGUUCCGAAAUGUCGCCGCCAAACAUAUUCUAGUGAGAUUCAAUGGCGUAAUAAAAACUAGCUAAUCAAAUUUUCAGGAUCCUUGCUUCAUUUUCUAAAGGGUUGUAACUAAUAUAGAUAUGCAGACAAGCACUCAAAAAAUCUCUUACUAUUACAGAUUUUUGCUAUAUUAUUAGAUUGGUUGGAUGGCUGCAUGAUAAAGAAUUAUUUCAAAUCUGGUAGAUUUUGGAUCGAUUCAUAUCUUUUAGAUUUUUUCAAGGGUUUCAAGAGUUGCGUUCGUUGAUUUCAAUUAUCACCAUCGCUGAUUUUAUCACAGAUGUGGGCAGCCCGUGAUGGCUUUCGGAAUGGUUCACUGGGACAUUUUUCAUUCAGUUGACCCCAGACGAGGAUUGAAUUGCUUCAUAGUCUAAUCUAAUACUGAAUUCUCCUAAUGAGAAUUGAAUGUUAUAUAGAAGAGUAAUAGCUUUUCAUUUAAAAGAAUAUGAAUCAAAUUUCAGAUCCCAUCCUCAUUUUUUCAUUGGGUUCUGGGCCUCGCCCUGGUUGUCCUCAUUUUUUUUAUCACACGACAGAUUCCAUCGCCAGUUUAAUCUGCCUAUGACGAGUUCUGUUGGUCCCUCUGUUUCAUAUUCCAGAUGCAGAUUUAGCAAUAUAAAACCUCAGAAAAACCUAAAUAAUAUGAUUAAAUACUUUAUUUGCAAUGACAUUAAUGAAAGUAUCCAGUAUCGCUAAAUAUUUUUGAUAUAAUCCUACUUCAAAGACACCAGUAAUGCCUACGAUUUUCCUCGGCAUGCAGAAUUUGUUUGUUGGCGCAGAAUUUUUAUUUCAUUUUGAAUAAUAUCCAAUUUUAUAACUUUCAGGAGGGAUUGACAAUUAUUAAAAAUAAUCUUUGAUCGAAACAAUACUUUAAUAAUAACUUUUUAUGAACGUUAGAUUUAUUUCCGUGGAUAGAAUAUAUUAUUUUAGAAAUACUUAUACUUACAUAAUCGCUUUCUCC
rnacentral:lncRNA from 1 species